UAAAUUAUAGUAACUUCUGACUUUUAAAAGUUUUGUUUCAUUGUUAUUUUGCUCUUUCGAUUUCUUUAUUGCAUGUAUUGUUUAAGCUAUGCACAGCAUUCAGUAUGCUAAUAUCACUACUAACUAAGAAUGUGCUGUUUGAAUAUAGAGGCUAGGUAAUUUGCCAAAAUUAACUCAGCUGACUAUAAGAGAUGAGAUUUGUACACAGGCAUUUUGAGAGGAAAGCCUGUCAGUCUACCUCAUACAUUUUAAGAUGGAUUUAUUUGUGAGAUACAGUUAGAAAAUGUAAAAUAAAAAAAUAGGGUAAACAAAUACGGCAAAAAAGAAAUAAAAAUGACCAUAAAUAUUUUAUUAUUGACAAACGUUUU
rnacentral:lncRNA from 10 species